rnacentral:rRNA from 1 species
AUGCGAGUCGUGAGUCUUAGGGACUCGGCGUACCGCUCAGUAACACGUGGGUAACCUGCCCUGUGCUGGGGAAUAACCUCGGGAAACUGAGAAUAAUACCCCAUAGUUCACCACGCCUGGAACGGUGGGUGGAUCAAAGCUCCGGCGGCACAGGAUGGGCCUGCGGCGUAUCAGGUCGUAGGGGGUGUAACGUACCCUCUAGCCUUCAACGCGUACGGGUUGUGGGAGCAAUCGCCCGGAGAUGGAUUCUGAGACACGAAUCCAGACCCUACGGGGUGCAGCAGGCGCGAAAACUUCACACUGCAGGAAACUGUGAUGAGGGAAUUCCAAGUGGUCAGACAAAGUCUGAUCUUUUUGCAACUUUUAAUCGGUUGCAGAAUAAGGGGUGGGAAAGACCGGUGCCAGCCGCCGCGGUAAUACCGGCACCUCAAGUGGUCGUCGCUUUUAUUGGGCCUAAAACGUCCGUAGCCUGUUUGGUACAUUCGUGGGUAAAUCAAUCAGCUCAACUGAUUGAAUUCUGCGAGGACGGCCAGACUAGGGACCGGGAGAGGUAUGGGGUACUCUCAGGGUAGGGGUAAAAUCCAGUCAUCCUGAGGGGACCACCUGUUGCGAAGGCGCCAUACUAGAACGGAUCC